rnacentral:rRNA from 1 species
AGAGUUUGAUCAUGGCUCAGGAUGAACGCUAGCGGCAGGCUUAACACAUGCAAGUCGAGGGGUAGGGUUCUUCGGAACCUGAGACCGGCGCACGGGUGCGUAACGCGUAUGCAAUCUGCCUUUCACAGAGGAAUAGCCCAGAGAAAUUUGGAUUAAUGCCUCAUAGCAUUGGAUAAGGGCAUCCUUUUCCAAUUAAAGUCACAACGGUGAAAGAUGAGCAUGCGUCCCAUUAGCUAGUUGGUAAGGUAACGGCUUACCAAGGCGACGAUGGGUAGGGGUCCUGAGAGGGAGAUCCCCCACACUGGUACUGAGACACGGACCAGACUCCUACGGGAGGCAGCAGUGAGGAAUAUUGGUCAAUGGGCGCAAGCCUGAACCAGCCAUGCCGCGUGCAGGAUGACGGUCCUAUGGAUUGUAAACUGCUUUUGUACGGGAAGAAACACUCCCUCGUGAGGGAGCUUGACGGUACCGUAAGAAUAAGGAUCGGCUAACUCCGUGCCAGCAGCCGCGGUAAUACGGAGGAUCCAAGCGUUAUCCGGAAUCAUUGGGUUUAAAGGGUCCGUAGGCGGUCUUGUAAGUCAGUGGUGAAAGCCCAUCGCUCAACGGUGGAACGGCCAUUGAUACUGCAGGACUUGAAUUACUGGGAAGCAACUAGAAUAUGUAGUGUAGCGGUGAAAUGCUUAGAGAUUACAUGGAAUACCAAUUGCGAAGGCAGGUUGCUACCGGUGGAUUGACGCUGAUGGACGAAAGCGUGGGUAGCGAACAGGAUUAGAUACCCUGGUAGUCCACGCCGUAAACGAUGGAUACUAGCUGUUGGGCGCAAGUUCAGUGGCUAAGCGAAAGUGAUAAGUAUCCCACCUGGGGAGUACGAACGCAAGUUUGAAACUCAAAGGAUUUGACGGGGGCCCGCACAAGCGGUGGAGCAUGUGGUUUA